CGGGCCGUAGCGCAGAGGUCGACGCAUCUCCAUGCCAUGGAGGGGGACGCCGGUUCGAAUCCGGCCGGCCUGC
rnacentral:tRNA from 1 species